rnacentral:rRNA from 1 species
UACGAAGGGGCUAGCGUUGCUCGGAAUCACUGGGCGUAAAGGGUGCGUAGGCGGGUCUUUAAGUCAGGGGUGAAAUCCUGGAGCUCAACUCCAGAACUGCCUUUGAUACUGAGGAUCUUGAGUUCGGGAGAGGUGAGUGGAACUGCGAGUGUAGAGGUGAAAUUCGUAGAUAUUCGGAAGAACACCAGUGGCGAAGGCGGCUCACUGGUCCGGUACUGACGCUGAGGUGCGAAAGCGUGGGGAGCAAACAGG